AUGAGUAACUUUUACUUCAUUGUGAUGUCGUGGAAUGUUAGAGGUCUCAAUGCUCCGGCUAGACGAACGACGAUCAGUGAAGUAGCUAGCAUUCACAACACAGCAAUUUUUACACUCCGGGAGACAAAGAUCGAGCAAUGGACCACUAAAAUUGCAAAAUAGGUGGGCGGUACAGCUCUUCAGGGAUGUGUUGUGCUACCUGCAAUUGGGAGGAGAGGAGGCGUAGCUAUCUUCUCAAACAAAGAUAUAGUUUCGAUCUCCUCUCACGCCAUCGGCAGAUUCUCAAUCACGGCAAAGGUUACAAAACUGGGAAGAAAUGAACAGUUCUGGUUAACAACGGUCAAUGGACCAAAUGAUGACACUCUCAGAGAGGAAUUCCUUCAAGAGCUUGUUGCUUCUGCACCACCUCUUGGCGAGCCAUGGCUGGUAACAGGGGAUUUCAACAUGAUCUAUGAAGCCCGGGACAAGAGAAAUUUAAAUCUGAGGAGAAGAAUUAUGGGCAGGUUUAGAAAAGCAAUAGACUAUGCAGGACUCAAGGAGAUUAAGUGC
rnacentral:rRNA from 1 species